rnacentral:rRNA from 1 species
GACGAACGCUGGCGGCGUGCUUAACACAUGCAAGUCGAACGGUGAAGCGCUCUCCUUUUUGGUUGGUGUGGAUGAGUGGCGAACGGGUGAGUAACACGUGAGUAACCUGCUCCCUUCUUCUGGAUAACCGCAUGAAAGAGUGGCCAAUACGGGAUAUUCUGCGCCUGCUGCAUGGUGGGUGUGGGAAAGAUUGUGCCUUUGGGCGUUAUCGGUGGGGGAUGGGCUCGCGGCCUAACAGCUUGUUGGUGGGGUGGUGGCCUACCAAGGCGGUGACGGCUAGCCGGCCGGAGAGGGUGCGCGAUCAAACUGAGAAUGAGACACGGCCCAGAAGCCUACGGGAGGAAGCAGUGCAAACUAUUGCGCCAUGGGGGCAAGCCUGAUGCAACGACGCCGCGUGAGAGAAAGAGGCCUUCGGAGUGUGAACCUCUUUCGCCAGGGAAGCAGGCCUGCACCGUGUGAAUGAGUUGACGGUGGCUGGAUAAGAAGCGCCGGCUAACUACGUG